AGGAUUCUGUCUUGAGACCUACUUGGGACGGUCGAUUUAUUGCACUAUUGUUCUCAAGAUAAUGCGUCAGAUCUUGUCAGCAGUCGCGUGAUACAAGAGAGCACAGCUUCAUCAUUGGGCAAAGCAGUUCAUGGUGAUUAACUGAGGUGGAAAUCCCCGGCUGACCUGGACUGCAUUCAAUACUGACUGACUAGAGUAUGUAGAGGUGUGAAUUUCCUGUGUAGCGUGAAAUGCGUAGAUAUAUGAAAGAACACCAGUGCGAAGGCGAUCACCUCGACUGAUACUGACACUGAGUGCGAAAACGUGUGAGCCAACACGAUUAUAUACCCCUGUAGUUCACGCCGUAAAAGAUGUCAAAUAGCCGCUGGGAGCCUUGAGCUCUUAGUGGCGCAGCUAUCACACUAAGUUGACCGCCUGGGGAGUACGGCCGCAAGGUUAAAAAUCAAAAGAAUUGACGGGGGCCCGCACAAGCGGUGGAGCAUGUGGUGUAAUUCGAAGCAACGCGAAGAACCUUACCAGGCCUUGACAUCCAAUGAACUUUCUAGAGAUAGAUUGGUGCCUUCGGGAACAUUGAGACAGGUGCUGCAUGGCUGUCGUCAGCUCGUGUCGUGAGAUGUUGGGUUAAGUCCCGUAACGAGCGCAACCCUUGUCCUUAGUUACCAGCACGUAAUGGUGGGCACUCUAAGGAGACUGCCGGUGACAAACCGGAGGAAGGUGGGGAUGACGUCAAGUCAUCAUGGCCCUUGCGGCCUGGGCUACACACGUGCUACAAUGGUCGGUACAGAGGGUUGCCAAGCCGCGAGGUGGAGCUAAUCCCAUAAAACCGAUCGUAGUCCGGAUCGCAGUCUGCAACUCGACUGCGUGAAGUCGGAAUCGCUAGUAAUCGCGAAUCAGAAUGUCGCGGUGAAUACGUUCCCGGGCCUUGUACACACCGCCCGUCACACCAUGGGAGUGGGUUGCACCAGAAGUAGCUAGUCUAACCUUCGGGAGGACGGUUACCACGGUGUGAUUCAUGACUGGGGUGAAGUCGUAACAAGGUAGCCGU
rnacentral:rRNA from 1 species